rnacentral:rRNA from 1 species
CCUACGGGUGGCAGCAGUGGGGGAUAUUGCACAAUGGAGGAAACUCUGAUGCAGCGACGCCGCGUGGGGGAAGAAGGGCCUCGGCUUGUAAAGCCCUGUCAGCGGGGAAGAAAAUGACGGUACCUAAAGAAGAAGCCCCGGCUAACUACGUGCCAGCAGCCGCGGUAAUACGUAGGGGGCGAGCGUUGUCCGGAUUUACUGGGUGAAAGGGGGGCGCAGGCGGGCUUGAAAGCCGGAGGUGAAAGCUCCCGGCGAAACCCGUAGCUGCGUUUGAAACUGCGUGUCUGGAGUGAAGGAGGGGCAGGCGGAAUUCCUGGUGUAGCGGUGAAAUGCGUAGAUAUCAGGAGGAACACCGGUGGCGAAGGCGGCCUGCUGGGCUGUAACUGACGUUGAGGCUCGAAAGCGUGGGGAGCAAACAGGAUUAGAUACCCGAGUAGUC